GUUCCGGUUGUCACGCCAGUGGCAUUGCCGGGUAGCUAUGUUCGGAAAAGAUAACCGCUGAAAGCAUCUAAGCGGGAAACUUGCCUCAAGAUGAGAUCUCACUGGAACCUUGAGUUCCCUAAAGGGCCGUCGAAGACUACGACGUUGAUAGGUUGGGUGUGUAAGCGCUGUGAGGCGUUGAGCUAACCAAUACUAAUUGCCCGUGAGGCUUGACCAUAUAAAAAGGGCCGUCGAAGACUACGACGUUGAUAGGUUGGGUGUGUAAGCGCUGUGAGGCGUUGAGCUAACCAAUACUAAUUGCCCGUGAGGCUUGACCAUAUAACACCCAAGCAAUU
rnacentral:rRNA from 1 species